rnacentral:rRNA from 1 species
AGCGAACGCUGGCGGCAGGCCUAACACAUGCAAGUCGAACGGAUCCUUCGGGAUUAGUGGCGGACGGGUGAGUAACACGUGGGAACGUGCCCUUUGGUUCGGAACAACUCAGGGAAACUUAAGCUAAUACCGGAUGUGCCCUUCGGGGGAAAGAUUUAUCGCCAUUGGAGCGGCCCGCGUCUGAUUAGCUAGUUGGUGAGGUAAAGGCUCACCAAGGCGACGAUCAGUAGCUGGUCUGAGAGGAUGAUCAGCCACAUUGGGACUGAGACACGGCCCAAACUCCUACGGGAGGCAGCAGUGGGGAAUCUUGCGCAAUGGGCGAAAGCCUGACGCAGCCAUGCCGCGUGAAUGAUGAAGGUCUUAGGAUUGUAAAAUUCUUUCACCGGGGACGAUAAUGACGGUACCCGGAGAAGAAGCCCCGGCUAACUUCGUGACAGCAGCCGCGGUAA